AUUGAACGCUGGCGGCAGGCUUAACACAUGCAAGUCGAGCGGGGUGAUGGUGCUUGCACUAUCAUUUAGCGGCGGACGGGUGAGUAAUGCUUAGGAAUCUGCCUAUUAGUGGGGGACAACAUCUCGAAAGGGAUGCUAAUACCGCAUACGUCCUACGGGAGAAAGCAGGGGAUCACUUGUGACCUUGCGCUAAUAGAUGAGCCUAAGUCGGAUUAGCUAGUUGGUGGGGUAAAGGCCUACCAAGGCGACGAUCUGUAGCGGGUCUGAGAGGAUGAUCCGCCAAACUGGGACUGAGACACGGCCCAGACUCCUACGGGAGGCAGAAGUGGGGAAUAUUGGACAAUGGGGGGAACCCUGAUCCAGCCAUGCCGCGUGUGUGAAGAAGGCCUUAUGGUCGUAAAGCACUUUAAGCGAGGAGGAGGCUCUUUUGGUUAAUACCCAAGAUGAGUGGACGUUACUCGCAGAAUAAGCACCGGCUAACUCUGUGCCAGCCGCCGCCGUAA
rnacentral:rRNA from 1 species